AACGUACGCUGGCGGCACGCCUAACACAUGCAAGUCGAACGAAGUAGCAAUACUUAGUGGCAGACGGGUGAGUAACAUGUAGGUAUCUGCCCUUUGGCCUGGAAUAACACGAGGAAACUUGUGCUAAUACCGGAUAAGUCUUUACGGAGAAAGCUUUAUGCACCAUUGGAUGAGCCUGCACUUGAUUAGUUUGUUGGUGGGGUAAUGGCCUACCAAGACUGUGAUCAAUAGCUGAUUUGAGAGGAUGAUCAGCCACAUUGGGACUGAGACACGGCCCAAACUCCUACGGGAGGCAGCAGUGGGGAAUCUUGCACAAUGGAGGAAACUCUGAUGCAGCGAUGCCGCGUGAGUGAGGAAGGCCCUUGGGUUGUAAAGCUCUUUCGUCGGGAAAGAAAAUGACUGUACCCGAAUAAGAAGGUCCGGCUAACUUCGUGCCAGCAGCCGCGGUAAUACGAAGGGACCUAGCGUAGUUCGGAAUUACUGGGCUUAAAGAGUUCGUAGGUGGUUG
rnacentral:rRNA from 1 species